ACACAAUCUUAAAAUCUUCCCAGCUUAGAAGAUUCUUUCCAAGUAUUCUUUUGUGUUUUUUUUUAACCUAUAAAAGAUAAUGGAAUAUAUUUUAUAGACUGGAUUUUAUCUUAUCCCUUUCCCUCUCCCGGCUGCACUCAGUUUAAUAGUUGUCAGGGCUUUUCUUCCCCCCGUGUUUUUCCUAAGUGUUGGAUUUAAUUAUAUGGGACCAAAAUAUAUACCUCAGUAAAUUAGCUUGCUAAAUAUUCUGUCAUUUUGUGAUUCUGCCUUUGAGAAGCAGCUUAAUUACAGAAAUCUAUCU
rnacentral:lncRNA from 1 species